UGCAUUACAGUCCAAUCACCACAGGCAAGAUUGUGAAUGCAUGUUAUAUUUUGCACAGUAUUGCAAACAAGACCAACGCACGUGCCUCCACUCAUGCCUGUGGAAGCUCUUCAUCUGCAACAGGAUGAACACAAUUCAAGGGCCGAGAGUUGGAAAGUGCUAUUGAUGGACAGCAUUCACAAAGCCAUCGAGUUAACCAAGGUCUGCUUGAAGGUAGAGUGCUGCAGCAGGCUCUCAUCAACAGGCUGUGGAGAAAUGCAUGAAAUUAAUAAUAAAUAAUUGAAAUAAAUGAUUUUGAAUUUU